UACGUAUGGUGCAAGCGUUAUCCGGAUUUACUGGGUGUAAAGGGAGCGUAGGCGGCGCGUUAAGUCUGAUGUGAAAACCCGAGGCUCAACCACGGGAGUGCAUUGGAAACUGGCGGGCUGGAGUGCCGGAGAGGUAAGCGGAAUUCCUAGUGUAGCGGUGAAAUGCGUAGAUAUUAGGAGGAACACCAGUGGCGAAGGCGGCUUACUGGACGGCAACUGACGCUGAGGCCCGAAAGCGUGGGGAGCAAACAGG
rnacentral:rRNA from 1 species